AUAUUGUCAGAGCCCGUUAAGAAGACACUAAUUGUCUUUCAUUCACAUUGUAACGUCGUUGAAGCUAAUUUAAGCUAUUGUUAAUGGAUGACAAUUGGAUUGAAACGAAUGAUUGAAUGAUUGACAUACAUAUAUCAGUGAAAGACACACUAACCAGGUCGUUGCAGAGUGCAUAAGAACAUGAAAAGGCAGAAAAUGACGGGGACGGAGUGCGUGUUCGGGCCAAGUGCACGUGCUCUACUGCUGCGAUGAAAAUAUCCACGAGACGCUCCAAAGAACAUCAUUCGUGCUCAUGGUUUAUCCCGGCCGGGAUACUCGCUCGUACUUACGAUGCUCCAUUUAAAAGGGAACUAUAACCAAUUGUACGAUAAUCUUCUUUCUUUUUCUACCUUUCUUUCUUCCUUUUUUUUCUUCUUUUAUUUCCUAGUUUCUCAUUAACGUGCAUACUUAAUGUAUAUCGUAGAAUUGUAUAUCCACUUUUUCAGUUAUACUUCUAUUUACUGAAUAAUCAUUAUAUUAAAUAUAUAAACAUACAUGAAGAAGAUAUAGAUUAUGUAAAUCUAGAUUUAAUAAACUAUAUCUAAUAUCUAAAUAUCAA